rnacentral:lncRNA from 1 species
CCCGGGUAGAAAGCAGUGCAGUGGGGAGGUCCUGCUAGCAGCUGAGGGCCAUGCGAGAGUCCUGGACCGUGUGGGGACUCACCUGAGGCUGCUGGGCAGCCGCUGUAGGGGUACGUGCGGGCAGCCUACCCCGAGUGAGGAGGGGCUGGGGAAGGAGAGCCAGGGGCUCCAUCCCUCAUUUUGUUCUCUUGAAAGCUUGCCCAGAAUGGGAACUGCCUGUACUAGUAUCACCUGUAAAGGCAUUCAUUUCUACGUCUAAUUUAUCAGCCUUUUAUUAAAGUUCACAUAAGUUUUAAAAAAUUCCAUUAGCAUCAGCCACCAGAAAGGAGAUUUCAGAGAAUGAGAUGAUCAGGUUUCCAAGUUUAUUGAAAACCCUGUAGACGACCGCAUGGCUGCUUGGGCUAUUUCGGAAAGCCAGUGCAGACUGGCGAGCCUUCAAUAACGUGGGGGCGGCUGGGGGGGAGCGCGCACCUCGGCGGGUGCCAUCCUGCGGACGAGGCAUCGGGGCCGUCUGUGCCGGGAGAGCCCGAUGUCCAGCUCAUCAGAACCCCAUGUCAGCUACAGCCUGGAGCUCAGCAUUUGGAGGGGUGACCAGCCUUCAAGGGCACAUCAUCCUGGCCACGGUCCCGAGCUAGUACUUCAUCCCUGCUUUUUCCAGACAAAGAAACUAGGAGCACAGGGAGGAGGGAGCCUUCCUAAAACCACAGGAUGGGGGGCACAGGACCCCCUGAGCUCUGUCAGGCCAGCCCACCACCAAAAACACUCUGCGGGGGACAUACACAAAGAGCCCUGUGUCAGCCUGUGGGGAUGGGGCAUGACAGCGUCCACCUCGUAGGAGACCCCCAUGCGUACACGCUCACCAGAGCACCCGGCACGCAGACAGCUGGGCAGAUGGUGUAGCCGUGGGCCCGCUUGGAAUCCGAGGAGGUCUGUGAAAGUCUCAGAUGCGUGACUGGGAAUCUCGGUCCCUUCCUGCCAUCAUUCCUGGUCAUGAGUCCCUGCAGGCUCUGGGGUGCCCGUCCUCCCCAUGGUGCACGGGGGCUCCCUUGGGGGCCGAGUCCGAAGAGCUGCAUCCCAGACCUCCUUCUGGCUGCAGAAUGUACUGGCUUCCCUGGAGCUGUGGCCUGAGGGGUGAGGACACGCGGGGUUUGCGGAGGGCUGGUUUGUGAGCCUCUGCAGCACAGUCACCUCUGUGGCUUGUGGAAGAUUUCAUGCUCGUUCACAGGCCUUGCCCCAAGUUGACCAAAUCAGAGUCUCCUCCAGUGGAGGGGCCUAGAACCUGCAUUUGUAAAAAGCAGCCUCCCCCCACCCACCCGUGUCCUGGCCCAAUUCUCAGAGAUUCUGGUGUCAUUGGUCAUUAAUAAAUAAUGUAAGUAAAUAAAAUAAAUUAAUAAAAUUUAAUUUUUAACUUUUUUUUUUUUAAAGACCUUUAUGUUGGGCGCCUGGGUGGCUCAGUCGUUAAG